UACGUAGGGUGCAAGCGUUGUCCGGAAUUAUUGGGCGUAAAGAGCUCGUAGGCGGUUUGUUGCGUCGGCUGUGAAAACCCGGGGCUCAACCCCGGGCCUGCAGCCGAUACGGGCAGACUAGAGUUCGGCAGGGGAGACUGGAAUUCCUGGUGUAGCGGUGAAAUGCGCAGAUAUCAGGAGGAACACCCGUGGCGAAGGCGGCUCUCUGGGACGGUACUGACGCUGAGACGCGAAAGCGUGGGGAGCGAACAGG
rnacentral:rRNA from 1 species